ensembl:miRNA mir187 microRNA 187
GGCUGCAACACAGGACAUGGGUCCUGCCUCUCCUCCCCGCUCGUGUCUUGUGUUGCAGCCAGU